AACGAACGCUGGCGGCAUGCCUAACACAUGCAAGUCGAACGAGACCUUCGGGUCUAGUGGCGCACGGGUGCGUAACGCGUGGGAACCUGCCCUUAGGUUCGGAAUAACUCCCCGAAAGGGGUGCUAAUACCGGAUAAUGUCUUCGGACCAAAGAUUUAUCGCCUUUGGAUGGGCCCGCGUUGGAUUAGCUAGUUGGUAGGGUAAAAGCCUACCAAGGCGACGAUCCAUAGCUGGUCUGAGAGGAUGAUCAGCCACACUGGGACUGAGACACGGCCCAGACUCCUACGGGAGGGAGCAGUGGGGAAUAUUGGACAAUGGGCGAAAGACUGAUCCAGCAAUGCCGCGUGAGUGAUGAAGGCCGUAGGGUUGUAAAGCUCUUUUACCCGGGAUGAUAAUGACAGUACCGGGAGAAUAAGCUCCGGCAAACUCCGU
rnacentral:rRNA from 1 species